rnacentral:sRNA from 2 species
AAUAACCAAACGCUGAAUUCCUGAUCAAACGGGGAAACCAAUUUUUUGGGGUUAAUCCACAAAUAUGUGGUAGGGUUACACUUCGACCCGCAUCCGUCAGCUAACCUCGUAAGCGUUGAAGUGCUGUUGG